rnacentral:lncRNA from 1 species
AACUUUCAGGGCGCCAAGUACGGGUAGCGCUUCUGAUGGAUUCCCGGGUCUGGGAGGAUCCGAUUAUCCCGGGGCCGGGUGACACGCACAAAGCUGAGGUUAGAGUUGGCCAGGAAGGGAGGACCUGGUGAGCCGGUGGAACAAAAGCGGGAAGGCCUUUCCUUCUAGGAGCAAAACCAGCGACGCGUCCCGGACGCCCGGGGACCCCUGUGGGUCUCGGUUUCCUUCGCUGUGACCCUGACAUGUUUCCCUCCACCGGCCCGAGGAAACCGUCGCUUCCAGCCUCCAGGUACCGUCACCUCUGCGGGGCUGCGAGCGGAGGACCGGGACAGAGAAGGAGCCGGCGGUCCUGGCCAGCCGCGCGGCUCAAAACCCGACGGCGCGGGGACUCCGGGCCUGGGGCCUCCAUGGCUGUGGCCUCCUUAUCUCCCGGGCCGGCUGCUCCCUACGCUGCGGGGCUGAGGGCACUGGGGACCCAGGGGCUUCUCUGGCACUAGCGAGGACCUAACCUUGAGUGAAGAACGAUGUCAAGUGAAAGUGAAGAAUAACGGGGGUGGGCGCGAAGAGAAUGGUCUUGGGGCGCGCUUGCGCCUCUACCCGAGGACCGAGGUGGGGAUUCGACAGACGCCAGCGGUGGGGAUCCGGGGCGAGAAGCCCCGACUUUCUGAGUCGUGAGCCGCCUCCAGUCGCCCCAGGACGUAACCCCGAGGAGCUUUCAGACACUGGCCGCGCCUAAUAUCGCUGAGAACCGCGAAAACCGGAGUUCCGGCCGCCUCCCGGACUGGCGUCCCGAGGCCAGGGGACCCGCUUGGGGCUCCCGGCCGAGCCCCGACCUCGGACGUUUUUCCGGGAGCCGCGAGAGGCCUGGGGGCCUGGGCCAGGCGCCGCGGCGGGCAUCGAUCGCCGGCUCCCAGAGAGUGGCCCCGCGCAGGUGGAGGUGACCCCGUCACCUCCAGGAGCGCCCCCAAGCCCCGGUACCCGCAGCGUGCGCCCUCUCCUCCUCCCCGAAGGUUAAGUUCGUCUUUUUCGGUUCUCGGUUACGCAUCCCCUUGGCACGCAUGCCCAGCCACACCGUGGGCGAAACUAGAGGGCCCGCGUCCCCUGGGGGCUGCCGCGGGG